CCUACGGGAGGCAGCAGUGGGGAAUAUUGGACAAUGGGCGAAAGCCUGAUCCAGCAAUGCCGCGUGAGUGAAGAAGGCCUUCGGGUUGUAAAGCUCUUUUACCCGGGAAGAUAAUGACUGUACCGGGAGAAUAAGCCCCGGCUAACUCCGUGCCAGCAGCCGCGGUAAUACGGAGGGGCUAGCGUUAUUCGGAAUUACUGGGCGUAAAGCGUUCGUAGGCGGCUUUGUAAGUCAGAGGUGAAAGCCCACGACUCAAUCGUGGAACUGCCUUUGAGACUGCUUCGCUUGAAGAUGGGAGAGGUUAGUGGAAUUCCGAGUGUAGAGGUGAAAUUCGUAGAUAUUCGGAAGAACACCAGUGGCGAAGGCGGCUAACUGGACCAUUCUUGACGCUGAGGAACGAAAGCGUGGGGAGCAAACAGGAUUAGAUACCCUGGUAGUCCACGCCGUAAACGAUGAUAACUAGCUGUCGGGGCUCUUGGGUAGCGUUCGGUGGUCGCGACGACGUAACGUACAUUAAGUUAAUUCCGUCCGUCGGGUAGGUACGGUACCGGCCGAACGGUUAAAACGUAACGAAAGGAAAGUAGUACGGCGUGAGACGUGUCCGAACGGACGACGACGAGGGAGGUAGG
rnacentral:rRNA from 1 species